GAUGAACGCUGGCGGCGUGCCUAAUACAUGCAAGUCGAGCGAACGGACGAGAAGCUUGCUUCUCUGAUGUUAGCGGCGGACGGGUGAGUAACACGUGGAUAACCUACCUAUAAGACUGGGAUAACUUCGGGAAACCGGAGCUAAUACCGGAUAAUAUUUUGAACCGCAUGGUUCAAAAGUGAAAGACGGUCUUGCUGUCACUUAUAGAUGGAUCCGCGCUGCAUUAGCUAGUUGGUAAGGUAACGGCUUACCAAGGCAACGAUGCAUAGCCGACCUGAGAGGGUGAUCGGCAACAGUGGAACGGAAACACGGUCCAGACUCCUAGGGGAGGCAGCAGGAGGGAAUCUUCGGAAAGGGGCGAAAGCCUGACGGAGAAAGGCCGCGUGAGUGAUGAAGGUCUGCGGAUCGAAAAACUCGUUUAUUAGGGAAGAAAAGAUGUGUAAGUAACUGUGCAAGUCUUGACGGUACCUAAUAAGAAAGCAACGGAAAACUACGUG
rnacentral:rRNA from 1 species